CGCGAAGCAGCACAACCUUGUGGUUGUUAUGUCUGUGUCCUGCCACUCGGGCUGGGCCUUGCUGCGGUAAAAUGCCAAAGGUGAAAUGCCUGGCGGCCCUUCUCGGAGCCCUGCUGUGACAAGGAGAGGCCUCAGCAAGGGGUGCAUGAGCCACAGAGGAGCAGCUAUCCCACAGCUCGCCCCACACAAAGAAGACUGAAUGACACCAUGUAGGAUGCAAAUGGCUCCCCUUUGUGCCAGUGCACAGCAGAACCAGGUGCCGCGCUGAGUCACUUACUGCAAUAUUCCUAACCCUUCAACAGUCCUGCAGGGCGUUCCCUGUGCCUCCAUCACCACCUCCCACAGAGCCCCAGCACAGACCCACAGGCAGCCAGCGGGCGGCCAGAGGAACACAGGAACCAGGAACAGAGAGCGGGGAUUUCCGGGAGCCGGACUCUGCGCUCCAGACUUUGAUAGAAAGGACUGGAAACCGGCCUGAUUCUCCACCAAAGGUGACCUGGGCUGGGCACUGCACUUUCUUCAUCUCCCCGUCCUGAGAAACUGGGAGGCAGGUGCCAUUUACCUUCACUGUGCAGAUGAGGGACUGAAAUGUGAGGUCAUUCACAGCUGCCAGGUGGCGCGCUCCGGACUCGAUCCCAGGACUUCUGGGUCCCAGACUAGAGCAUUCUCUACUCCACCGCGGCUGCCUCUAGGAUCGUCUUGAAGCUAUUUCCCUCCUUCGGUGUGGUCCCUGUCAGAGGUGCACCAUCCAAGCCCCCACCGCCACUCACCUGGGCACUCAUGUGCCUCCUGAUUGGUCUCCUGGUUCCCCUUCUUGGUCCCAUCACCCAUGUUCACAACAGCCAGCGCUGACCUUUUCAUGAGUGACCACGUCAUACACAUGGAAAAGAAGACCCAGCUCCUUACUGUGUGUGGAAUAUCAGACUUGACGAGAUCUGGUCCCUGUCCCUCUCCCGCCUCAUCUGGCACUUUGCAUCCUCUCAGCCACCACACUAUGGCCACGCUGGCCUCCUUUUUCCUUCCUCUUUCCUACCCCGGGAUCUUUGCACUUGAUAUCUCUUCUCUUAUCACUUUGUCUGAUGCCCUGUUUUAUUUCCUUACAGCACUUCUAUCUGAAAGCAUACUCCUUAUUGACUUCUUGGGUGACCCUUUUUUGUUCCUUUUGCUUGCCUUUGCUGGGUAGCGUAAGCUUCACAAGAUAUUUUGGUCAUGUUCCCCCUGUCGUCCUCUUGCCUAGAACAACAUCUGCCCAUAGCAGGAGUCAGUAAUGACCCACUGGGUGAAAAAAAGACACGAAGGAGGCUCACAUGCGGAUGUUCCCAGAAUGCACCCUGAGCUCAGAGACAGGAGUGUAGGCAGGGUGAGAGGGCAGAGAGUGGAAGGCAACCCCGCCCCCUGGAAAACACAACCGGGUCCCUCCCUGCAGCCCCAGGCCCUCCCUGUUUGGAAACCUCGGCCUGGCUGGCUUCUCCUGCUACAGCCUGUGUCCCUGAGGAUAUUCCAUACCUCGGGAUAAACCGGCCUGUCUCUCUGAAGCAUCAAUUUGACUUGAUUAUUUGGCGGGAAGCAUUGUUUUUAUUAAACAGGAAUUUUAUUUUGCAA